CACGUAUGGGGCGAGCGUUGUUCGGAAUUAUUGGGCGUAAAGGGUGUGCAGGCGGUUAUACAAGUCUGGUGUGAAAGACCUGAGCUUAACUCAGGGAACGCAUUGGAAACUGUAUGACUAGAGUUCUGGAGGGGUAGCUGGAAUUCCAGGUGUAGGGGUGAAAUCUGUAGAUAUCUGGAAGAACAUCAGUGGCGAAGGCGAGCUACUAGCCAAGGACUGACGCUGAGACACGAAAGCGUGGGGAGCAAACAGG
rnacentral:rRNA from 1 species